ACUCUGGUUUCUCUACAAAGCGUAUAAGCCUUUCGCCUUUUACUAAAGACUUCCGUGGAGAGGAACACCCAAGAGUUCAGUGAAUUUUUGGUGGGCUUUGCUGUUCGGUAGAGCCC
rnacentral:snRNA from 1 species